GCCGGGCGUUGUGGCGGGUGCCUGUGGUCCCAGCUACUUGGGAGGCCCUGGCAGGAGACUCGCUUGAGCCCAGGAGUUGGAGGUUGCUGUGAGCUGUAAUGCCACAGCACUCUACCCAGGGGGACAGCUUGAGGCUCUGUCUCAAAAAAAAAACAACCAAAACAAUUCAGCAGAAUAUUCUGGUCAUUCAGAAUUAUUUAAAAGAAGUCUUAUAAUACCUAUUUAGUUUCCAUUUCUUUUUUUUUUUUUGAGACAGAGCCUCAAGCUAUCCCCCAGGGUAGAGUGCAACGGCAUCACAGCUCACAGCAACCUCCAACUCCUGGGCUCAAGCGAGUCUCUUGCCUC
rfam:Otolemur garnettii contig029364, whole genome shotgun sequence.